CGCGGGGUGGAGCAGUCUGGUAGCUCGUUGGGCUCAUAACCCAAAGGUCGUAGGUUCGAAUCCUACCCCCGCUACCA
rnacentral:tRNA from 1 species